UUAAAAAUUAGUUAAUAAAUAACAUUAGCUUGUCAAGCUGAAAUAAUCUACCUUGAUAUUUUUA
rnacentral:tRNA from 1 species